GUCCGUUGGUAUUCCAGUGUCCAGGCUGGCGUGCCCGGCUUUGCACGAAGAAGCACUGCGUAAGACAUCUUACUUCAUCUUCCUGCUCGCAGGCAUCAAGUGAGAAGCCGCCACCAGAGUGCUUCCCACCCCACCAGGGACACCUGGUUGCCUGUCCCGGCUAGUCUGUGUCACACACCUGCUAGAUAUCAUGGACAGAAGAGAGGAAGAGGAAACGGCUCAGCAAAUUAGAUGACUCAAAAAGGGACUUGGUUUUUAUGAACUUCAAUAUGAGAACAGAAGGUGCCUUUAUCAUUUGAAGAGUAUAUAAUAUUGCAGAGUGAUCACGGUUCUGGACAACAGCUCUGGGGUUCUAGGACUGUGUCCCAGCCCCAUGACUUAAACAACCACCCAGCCUCGCCAGUGCUGAUACCUCUGAGAAAGUGGAAAUUGGUGGUUGCCUGGUGAUUCAGAAGACUGAAUGCUAGAGCUGGCUGUUUCUUCAUUUCUUAUUCCACUGACUCCUACGAGGACACCAGCUGAGGCAUACCUUGUCAUAUCUAUGAAAGAAAAAUUUAUGUGCAUCUAAAGUAGAGACUAGAAGGGAACUCAGGAGGAACAGAAUCUUUGAAAAGCCCCUAUCUUGGUGUCCUAAUGAUUCUUAUUAAUGCUUAGGUUUUUGAGGCCACGGAGCCACCACUGAAUCCUGUCUCUGUUGUGUAGAAACUGUGUGAUUUGGGAUGAGUUGUUUAACCUCUUCAUCAAAAACAGAACCGCUCCCCACACCACUGCCACCAAAAGCAAACCUUUAUUGGCACUUGAUGAGGACCUGACUGGGUUGAGAACGCGCCCAAGCUUCGGGACCCCUGUGCCGACGCUGUUGCAGUGCCCCAUCCCUCCCAGUCUUGAGUGGGUAAGAAUGUGCCCCUACCUCCAGCUCAAGUGGCUGAAUACAGAGCAGUUACAGCCAUGGAGGCCUAAGUAGAAACCUGCAGGGGUUCGGCCUGGGCCUCCCAGGGCACCCUUUUGGCUCCUCAUGUGAGUGACAUCCCGAGGUGCAGCACCUG
rnacentral:lncRNA from 1 species